GGCGGCAUGCCUUACACAUGCAAGUCGAACGGCAGCACGGGAGCAAUCCUGGUGGCGAGUGGCGAACGGGUGAGUAAUAUAUCGGAACGUGCCCAGUAGUGGGGGAUAGCCCGGCGAAAGCCGGAUUAAUACCGCAUACGACCUACGGGUGAAAGCGGGGGAUCGCAAGACCUCGCGCUAUUGGAGCGGCCGAUAUCAGAUUAGCUUGUUGGUGGGGUAAAAGCCUACCAAGGCGACGAUCUGUAGCUGGUCUGAGAGGACGACCAGCCACACUGGGACUGAGACACGGCCCAGACUCCUACGGGAGGCAGCAGUGGGGAAUUUUGGACAAUGGGCGCAAGCCUGAUCCAGCCAUGCCGCGUGCGGGAAGAAGGCCUUCGGGUUGUAAACCGCUUUUGUCAGGGAAGAAACGGUCUGAUCUAAUAAAUCGGACUAAUGACGGUACCUGAAGAAUAAGCACCGGCUAACUACGUGCCAGCAGCCGCGGUAAUACGUAGGGUGCAAGCGUUAAUCGGAAUUACUGGGCGUAAAGCGUGCGCAGGCGGCUUUGCAAGACAGAUGUGAAAUCCCCGGGCUCAACCUGGGAACUGCAUUUGUGACUGCAUGGCUA
rnacentral:rRNA from 1 species